rnacentral:rRNA from 1 species
UUUACGAUGAAAAAGGCCAGCUGGCACCCUUAUACUAGUAAGAAGUAAGUAAAGAGGAAUGAAAUUUUAGGUUUGUACCUUUUGUAUCAGGGGGUUUUAAAAGUAAAGCUAUAAAGGUAUCGAGUCGAUUGGAUCUUUAGUUAGACCAGUAAUGGCAGUUAUUGAUCUUAGUUAAUAAGAGGUGAAAAGCAGGCGACAAUCGUGAUAGCUAAUUAUUUUUAUAAUUUAAAAGUUAAGUUUUUAAUAAUCUAUAAAGUCUGUAUGUAAAAAUAACUAGGCUUUAAAUUAGUCGGGUUGGUAAAUUGUUUCAAAUAAUUAGAGUUUGAGAGGGUGAGUAGAAUUAUUUGAUAAUGGUAAAAAAUGGUAGUUUGUAGAAAUAAUGAAGUUAUUGAAUAAUUAAUGGAGUGAAUAAAAGACUCAAGGUAAGUUAGAUAGUUUAACAAAAACAUUUUUAUUUGAAGAAGAGAAAGUAAAACCUGCCCAGUGCGUCGUAAACGGCUGCAGUAUUUUGACUGUGCGAAGGUAGCAUAGUCAUUUGUUGCUUAAUUGGUAGCUAGAAUGAAUGGUUAAACUAGUUUAAUUGGUUUGUAAGCUUAAUAGGAGAUUUAAGUAGGGGUAAGAAUUCUCCUGUUAGCUAGGGGACGAUAAGACCCUAAAAGCUUUACUAGGAGGGUGUUUGUGGUUAUAAUAGAGAAAUAGUUUGGCUGGGGCGGCGAUAGCAUAUAAACUGCUAUGAAUUUUGAAGAUCCUGAGAUAUUCAGAUAAAAGGAAAAGUUACUUUAGGGGUAACAGUGCAAUAUAUUUGGAGAGACCCUAUUGAUAAAUAAGUUUGUAACCUCGAUGUU